UAGGAACUGCCAACAAAGAAGCAACAAAGGAUGAUGACUCGAUCAUAAUUCUGGAGUGAAGACAGGGAGGGAACCACAACACUUUCGCCAAAUUCAGACUUAAUAAAUAAGCCAAAGCAAGGAUUGAGACGAAGUGAAGCCAAAGACACCAACAGUAGAAAUAAAACACAUGCAACUUAGAAAUCACACCACCAAUCCAUUGAUCUUACGGAUCCAGAGCUCCAAUCUUGAAAUAAGCUAAAUCUAAACAGAUUUGAAGCUUCAGCUUAACACCGC
rnacentral:lncRNA from 1 species